rnacentral:rRNA from 1 species
CUGCCAGUAGUCAUAUGCUUGUCUUAAAGAUUAAGCCAUGCAUGUCUAAGUAUAAGUAAUUUUUACAGCGAGACUGCGAACGGCUCAUUAAAAUCAGUUAUAGUUUCUUUGAUGACCUACUUUAAUUGGAUAACUGUGGAAAAUCUAGAGCUAAUACAUGCAAACCAACUUGAACAAGUUGGAUUUAUCAGAGUUGAAACCAAACUGGGUGUAAAAGCUCAGUUUCAGAUGAAUCAUGAUAACUUACCUAAUUGCACAGCCUUUUGAGCUGGCAAUAUUUCAUUCAAAUUUCUGCCCUAUCAACUGUCGACUGUAGUACAGUUGGCUACAAGGGUGAUAACGGGUACGGGGAAUUAGGGUUCGACUCCGGAGAUGGAGCCUGAGAAACGGCUACAACUUCCAAGGAAGGCAGCAGGCGCGCAAAUUACCCAAUCCCAAUUCGGGGAGGUAGUGACAAUAAAUAACAAUACUGGUCCUGAAAAGGGGCCAGUAAUUGGAAUGAGUGUAAUGUAGACACCUUAACGAGGAACAAUUAGAGGAAAAGUCUGGUGCCAGCACCCGCGGUAAUUCCAGCUCUAAGAGCGUAUAUUAAAGUUGUUGCAGUUAAAACGCUCGUAGUCUAAACUUGAGGUAGAUGGACAUUUCGGUCUCCCGGGAUGGGUAGUACUAAUGCUGUCUGCCUCUCUGCAGGAACGGGAGGGGAUGCACUUGAAUGGGCAACUCCUACCACCUGUACAUUCACUGUGAGUAAAUUAGAGUGUUCAAAGCAGGCCUUAGUGCCAAUAAAUAUACUAGCAUGGAAUGAUCGAACAUGACUGGGUGUCCGUUCUGCGGGUACUCAAUCGGGCAGCUAGUAAUGAUCAAUGGGAGAGGUCGGGGCCGUCCAUAUGGCAUGGCUAGAGGUGAAAUUCUUGGACCCAUGCCAGAUGAACAAUUGCGAAGGCAGUCGGCCAGUACUCUUCCAUCGAUCAAGAACGAAAGUUUGGGGAUCGAAGACGAUCAGAUACCGUCGUAGUCCAAA